UGAAUACGAGACGCUAAGGCGUUGAAGUAGUGUAUGUCAUACUUCCAAGAAAAGCUUGCACUGUCAUAGAUAAAAAACGCCUGUACCAUAACCGACACAGGUGGGUAGGUAGAGUAUACUAAGGGGCGCGAGAUAACUCUCUCUAAGGAACUCGGCAAAAUAACUCCGUAACUUCGGGAGAAGGAGUGCCUUAUUUAUAAGGCUGCAAUAACAAGAUCCAAGCAACUGUUUAUCAAAAACACAGGUCUCCGCUAAGUCGUAAGACGAUGUAUGGGGGCUGACGCCUGCCCAGUGCCAGAAGGUUAAAGAAGUUGGUUAGCAAUAGCGAAGCUGAUAACUGAAGCCCUGGUGAACGGCGGCCGUAACAAUAACGGUCCUAAGGUAGCGAAAUUCCUUGUCGGGUAAGUUCCGACCCGCACGAAAGGCGUAAUGAUUUGGAUACUGUCUCGGAGAGGGGCUCGGUGAAAUAGACUUGUCUGUGAAGAUGCGGACUACCUGCACCAGGACAGAAAGACCCUAUGAAGCUUUACUGUAACUUGAAAUAGAAAUUGGACUUUAUUCGCGCAGUAUAGGUGGGAGGCGUUGAUUGUAAUCUUGCGGGAUUAUUGGAGCCAUCAGUGAGAUACCACCCUUGUAAUGUUAGAUUUCUAACUUUGAAUCAUUACCUGGUCAAAGAACAGUUUCAGGCGGGCAGUUUGACUGGGGCGGUCGCCUCCUAAACGGUAACGGAGGCGUACAAAGGUUUCCUCUGAACGGUUAGAAAUCGUAUCUAGAGUGUAAAGGCAUAAGGAAGCUUGACUGUGAGACCUACAAGUCGAGCAGGGACGAAAGUCGGUCUUAGUGAUCUGACGGUACUGAGUGGAAAGGCCGUCACUCAACGGAUAAAAGUUACUCUAAGGAUAACAGGCUGAUCUCCCCCAAGAGUUCACAUCGACGGGGAGGUUUGGCACCUCGAUGUCGGCUCAUCGCAUCCUGGGGCGGUAGUACGUCCCAAGGGUUGGGCUGUUCGCCCAUGAAAGCGGUACGCGAGCUGGGUUCAGAACGUCGUGAGACAGUUCGGUCCAUAUCCGGUGUAGACGUUAGAAUAUUGAGAGGAGCCUUCUUUAGUACGAGAGGACCGAGAAGGACAUACCUCUGGUGUACCAGUUAUCGUGCCAACGGUAAACGCUGGGUAGCUAUGUAUGGAGUGGAUAACCGCUGAAAGCAUCUAAGUGGGAAGCCCACCUCAAGAUAAG
rnacentral:rRNA from 1 species